GACAGAGGAUGCAAGCGUUAUCCGGAAUCAUUGGGCGUAAAGCGCGUGUAGGCGGCCUUGUAAGUCCGUUCUGAAAGCCCGGGGCUCAACCCCGGGAGGCGGAUGGAUACUGCAAGGCUCGAGUCCGGAAGAGGCAAGUGGAAUUCCCGGUGUAGCGGUGAAAUGCGCAGAUAUCGGGAGGAACACCAAUGGCGAAGGCAGCUUGCUGGGACGGUACUGACGCUGAGACGCGAAAGCGUGGGGAGCAAACAGG
rnacentral:rRNA from 1 species